rnacentral:rRNA from 1 species
GAUGAACGCUGGCGGCGUGCCUAAUACAUGCAAGUCGAGCGAACAGACGAGGAGCUUGCUCCUCUGACGUUAGCGGCGGACGGGUGAGUAACACGUGGAUAACCUACCUAUAAGACUGGGAUAACUUCGGGAAACCGGAGCUAAUACCGGAUAAUAUAUUGAACCGCAUGGUUCAAUAUUGAAAGACGGUUUUGCUGUCACUUAUAGAUGGAUCCGCGCCGCAUUAGCUAGUUGGUAAGGUAGCGGCUUACCAAGGCAACGAUGCGUAGCCGACCUGAGAGGGUGAUCGGCCACACUGGAACUGAGACAAGGUCCAGACUCCUACGGGAGGCAGCAGUAGGGAAUCUUCCGCAAUGGGCGAAAGCCUGACGGAGCAACGCCGCGUGAGUGAUGAAGGUCUUCGGAUCGUAAAACUCUGUUAUUAGGGAAGAACAAAUGUGUAAGUAACUAUGCACGUCUUGACGGUACCUAAUCAGAAAGCCACGGCUAACUACGUG